UACAGAGGGUGCGAGCGUUAAUCGGAAUUACUGGGCGUAAAGCGUGCGUAGACGGUUAUCUAAGUCGGAUGUGAAAGCCCCGGGCUCAACCUGGGAAUUGCAUUCGAGACUGAAUAGCUAGGGUACGGUAGAGGGAAGUGGAAUUUCCGGUGUAGCGGUGAAAUGCGUAGAUAUCGGAAGGAACAUCAGUGGCGAAAGCGGCCCUCUGGUCCAGUACUGACACUCAAGUGCGAAAGCGUGGGGAGCAAACAGG
rnacentral:rRNA from 1 species